rnacentral:rRNA from 1 species
AGAGACCGGCGCACGGGUGCGUAACGCGUAUGCAAUCUACCUUUCACAGAGGGAUAGCCCAGAGAAAUUUGGAUUAAUACCUCAUAGUAUUAUAGAAUGGCAUCAUUUUAUAAUUAAAGUCACAACGGUAAAAGAUGAGCAUGCGUCCCAUUAGCUAGUUGGUAAGGUAACGGCUUACCAAGGCGACGAUGGGUAGGGGUCCUGAGAGGGAGAUCCCCCACACUGGUACUGAGACACGGACCAGACUCCUACGGGAGGCAGCAGUGAGGAAUAUUGGACAAUGGGCGCAAGCCUGAUCCAGCCAUGCCGCGUGCAGGAAGACGGUCCUAUGGAUUGUAAACUGCUUUUAUACAGGAAGAAACACUCCGACGUGUCGGAGCUUGACGGUACUGUAGGAAUAAGGAUCGGCUAACUCCGUGCCAGCAGCCGCGGUAAUACGGAGGAUCCAAGCGUUAUCCGGAAUCAUUGGGUUUAAAGGGUCCGUAGGCGGUUUAAUAAGUCAGUGGUGAAAUCUGGUCGCUCAACGAUCAA